rnacentral:lncRNA from 1 species
UUUUUUUUCUUUUUUAGGGCCACACCCAAGGCACAUGGAAGUUUCCACACUAGGGGUCAUAUCAGAGCUACAGCUGUCAGCCUACACUACAGUCACAGCAAUGCAGGAUUCAAGACAUGUCUGUGACCUAUACCACAGCUCUCAUCAUGCCAGAUCCCCGACCCCCUGAGCAAGGUCAGGGUUUGAAUCUGCAUCCUCAUGGAUACUAGUCGGAUCUGUUUCCACUGUGCCACAAUGGGAACUCCCCUAAUUUCAUUCUUUUACAUGUACCUGUUCAGUUUUCCCAGAACCACCUGUUGAAGGGACUGUCUUUUUCCCUUUGUAUAUUCUUGCUUACUUUGUCAUAGAUUAGUUGAUUGUAGGUGUGUGGGUUUAAUUCUGGGGUUUCAAUACUCUUCCACUGAUCUAUAUUUCUGUUUUUGUGCCAGUGCCGUAAUGUUUUGGUGACAGUAGUUUUGUAGUGUAGUCUGAAGUCAGGGAGCCUGAUUCCUCCAUCGUCAUUUUUCUUUCUCAGGAUGGCUUUGGCUAUUCUGGGUCUUUUGGGGUUCCACACAAACUUUAAAAUAUUUUGUUCUAGGGAGUUCCCAUUGUGGCUCAGUGGUAAGUAACCCAACUAGUAUCCAUGAGGACUUGGGUUCAAUCUCUGGCCUUGAUCAGGGGGUUAAGGAUCCAGUGUUGCCUCGAGCUGUGGUGUAGGUUUCAGACACAGCUUAGAUCCAACAUUGCUAUGGCUGUGGCAUAGGCCGGCAGCUAUAGCUCUGAUUUGAUCCCUAGCUUGGGAACGUCCAUGUGCCACUGGUGAGGCCCUAAAAAAAAAAAGUUCUAGUUCUGUAAAAAAAUACCUUUGAUAGUUUGAUAGGGAUUGCAUUGAAUCUGUAGAUUGCCUUUGGUAGUAUAGCCAUUUUGAAAAUAUUGAUUCUUCCAAUCCAAGAGCAUGGUAUAUCUUUCCACUGUUUGUAUCAUCCUUGAGUUCCUUCAUCAGCAUCUUAGAGUUUUCAGAGUACAGGUCUUUUUUUCUCCUUAUUCCUUGGUGUUUUUGAUGCAAUGGUAAAGGGGAUUGUUUCCCUAAUUUCUCUUUCUGAUAUUUCAUUGCUAGUAUAUAAAAAUGCAGUCAGUUUCUGUGUAUUAAUUUUGUAUCCUGCUACUUUACCAAAUUCAUUGAUGAGCUCUCAGUUUUCUGGUAGCAUCUUUAGAAUUUUCUAGGUAUAAUAUCAUGUCAUCUGCAAACAGGGAUAGUUUUAUUUUUUCCUUUCCAAUUUGGAUUCCUUUUAUUUCUUUUUCUUCUCUGCCAUGGCUAGGACUUUGAAAACUAUGUUGAAUAGUAGUGGCAAGACAUCCUUGUCUUGUUCCUGAUCUUAGCAGAAUUCUUUCAGCUUUUCACCAUUGAGGAUGAUGUUAGCCAUGGGUUUGUCAUGUAUGGCCUUUAUUACAUUGAGGUAGUUUUCCUCUAUGCUCACUUUCUGGAGGGUUUUUAUCAGAAAGAGGUAUUGGAUUUUGUCAAAAGCUUUUUCCACAUCUAUUGAGAGGAUCAUAAGGUUUUUAUUCUUCAGUUUGUUAAUGUGGUGUAUCACACUGACUGAUUUGCAGAUAUUGAAAAAUCCUUGCAUCUCUGAGAUAAAUCCUGCUUGAUCAUGGUGAACAAUUCUUUUAAUGUAUUGCUGAUUUUUGUUUGCUAGUAUUUUGUUGAUGAUUUUUGCAUCUAUGUUCAUCAGUGACAUUGGCCUGCAAUUUUCUUUUUAUGUGAUAUCAGGGUGAUGGUAUCAGGGUGAUGGUUGCCUCAUAGAAUGAGUUUAGCAGUGUUUCUUCCUCUGCAAUUUUUUGGAAUAGUUUCAGAAAAGUAUAGGUGUUAAUUCUUCUCUAAAUUUUUUAUAGAAUUCACCUGUGAAGCCAUCUAGGCCUGGACUUUUGUUCGUUGAAAGUUUUUUAAUCACAGUUUCAAUUUCAGUACGUGUGAUUGGUCCAUUCAUCUUUUCUAUUUCUUCCUGGUUUAGUCUUGGGAAAAUGUACCUUUCUAAGAAUUUGUCCAUUUUUUCUAGGUUGUCUGUUUUAUUGGCAUAUGGUUUUUUGUAAUAGUCCCUUAUGAUCCUUUGUAUUUCUGUGAUGACCAUUGUAACUUCUUCUUUUUCAUUUAUAAUUUUAUUGAUUGAGUCCUCUUUUUUUCUAGAUGAAGGGCUAAGGAUUUAUCAAUUUUGUUGAUCUUUUCAAAGAACCAGCUUUUAUUUCAUUGAUCUUUUCUAUGGUUUUCUUCAUUUCUGUUUCACUUAUUUCUGCUCUGAUCUUUAUGAUAUCUUUCCUUCUGCUAACUUGGAAUUUUAUCUGUUCUUCUUUCUCUAGUUGCUUUACAUGUAAAGUUAGGUUGUUAAGUUUUUUCUUGUUUCCUGAGGUAGGCUUGUAUUGCUAUAAACCUCCCUCUUACAACUGCUUUUGCUGCAUCCCAUAGGUUUUGGAUUGUUGUGUCUUUAUUAUUAUUUGCUUCUAGGUAUUUUUAAAUUUCCUCUUUGAUUUCUUCUGUGGUCCAUUUGUUGUUUAGUAGCAUGUUGUUUAGUCUCCACAUGUUGGUGUUUUUUGCAGGGUUUUUUUCUUGUUGUUGAUUUCCAAUCAUAUAGCAUUGUGUUGGGAAAAGAUAUUUGAUAUGUUUUCAAUUUUCUUAAAUUUACCGAGGCUUGAUUUGUGAUGCAGAAUGUGAUCUAUCCUAGAGAAUGUUCCAUGUUCACUUGAGAAGAAUGUGUAUUCUGCUGCUUUUGGAUAGAAUGUUCUAUGAAUAUCUUUUAAGUCUAUCUCGUCCAAUGCAUCAUUUAAGGCCUGUGUAUUCUUGUUGAUUUUCUCUCUGAGUGAUCUGUCCAUCGCUGUAAGUGGGGUGUUAAAGCCCCCUACUAUUAUUGUGUUAUUGUCAAUUUCUUCUUUUAAGGUUGUUAGUAGUUGCCUUAUAUAUUGAGUCAAUCCUAUGUUGGGUUCAUAAAUAUUUGCAAUUGUUUUAUCUUCUUCUUGGAUUGAUCCUUUGAUCAUUAUGUAAUGUCCUUCUUUGUCUCUUAUAAUAUUCUUUAUUUUAAGGUCUAUUUUGUCUGAUAGGAAUAUUGCUACAUGAGCUUUCUUUUGAUUACCCUUUGCAUGGAAUAUUUUCUUCCAUCCCCUCACUUUCAAUUUGUAUGUGUCCCUAGAACUGAAGUGGGUCUCUUGAAGACAGCAUAUAUAUGGGUCUUGUGUUUUUUUCUUUUUCCUUUUUGUCUUUUAGGAUGGCACCCAUGGCAUAUGGAGGUUCCCAGGCUAGGGGUCAAAUCAGAGCUGUAGCUGCUGGCCUACACCACAGCCACAGCAAUGCAGGAUCCAAGCCACGUCUGUAACUUACAUCACAGCUCACUGCAAUGCCAGAUCCUUAACCCUCACUCAGGUUAAGGGAUCAAACCUGUAUAUUCAUGGGAUAUUCAGAUUCAUUUAUGCUGAGCCACAAUGGGAAUUCCUGGGUCAUCUUUUUGUAUCCAUUCAGUCAGUCUAUGUAUUUUAGUUGGGGCAUUUAGUCCAUUUACAUUUAAGGUAAUUAUUGAUAUGUAUGUUCUUAUUACCAGUUUAUUCAUUGUUUUAUAUUUAUUUUUGUUGGUCUUUUUUUCUUCCCUUCUUCUCUUGUUCUCUUCUCUUGUGGUUUGAUGACUAUCUUUAGUGUUGUCUUUGGAUUGCUUUUUCUUAUUUGUGUGUGUAUCUACUGUAGAUUUUUGGUUUGCAGUUACCAUGAAGUUUUGAUAUAGGAAUAUAUAUAUACACAAACACACACAAGUUUUUUUUAAAUUGUUGUUCUCUCAAUUGCAAGUACAUCUCCAGUAUCUUGCAUUUGUACCCAUCUCUUCUCAUGAUUUAUGGUCUUGGUAGCAUAUUUGUGAGUGAUUUCCUACCUUUAUUGUAUGUAUGUCUUUAUGACUGAGGCUUGUCAUGUGUAAUAUUUUUGUUUCUAGUUGUGGCUUUUCCUUUUCCAUCUAGAGAAGUUCCUUUAGUAUUUGUUGUAAAGCUGGUUUAGUGGUGCUGAAUUCUCUUAGCUUUUGCUUGUGUGUAAAGCUUUUGGUUUAUCCCUCAAAUCUGAAUAAGAGCCUUGCUGGGUAGAAUAAUCUUGGUUGGAGGUUUUUUCCUUUCAUCACUUUUAAGUAUAUCCUGCUACUCCCUUCUGGCAUGCAGAGUUUCUGCUUAAAAAUAAACCAGUAACCUUAUCAGGGUUACCUUGUAUGUUAUUUUUUUUUCCCUAACUGCUUUCAAUAUUUUCUCCUUGUCUUUAAUUUUGGUCAGUUUGAUUAAUAUGUGUCUUGGGAGGUUCCUCCUUGGGGUUAUUUUUUCUGGUACUCAUUAUGCUUCCUGGAUUUGAGUGAGUGAUUUCUUUCCCAUGUUAAGGAAGUUUUUGGCUAUUGUCUCUUCAAAUAUUUUCUCUGGCCAUCUCUCUUCUCCUUCUGUCAUUCCUCUAAUGCAGAUGUUGGGGCACUUAACAUUGUCCCAGAGCUAUCUUAGAUUGUAUUCAUUUUUUCCAACCUUUUUUCUCUUUUCUUUUCUGCAUCAGUGAUUUCCACUAGUUCAUCUUCAACCUCCCUUAUUCAUUCUUCUGCCUUCUGUAUUCUGCUGUUGCUUCCUUCUAGUGAAUUUUUUUUGUUUCAGUUAUUGUAUUUUGCAUCUCUGCUUCCUUAAUACUUAAACCUUCUCUUUCUUUGCUCAAGUUUUCUUGUAAUUUAUCAGUCUUUGCCUCCAGUUUAUUUCCAAGAUCUUGAAUCACCUUUGCUAUCAUUAGUCUAAAGUCUUUUUCAUGGAGGUUGGUAAUCUCCAGAUCAAUUAGCUGUUUUUCUGUUUCAUUUUUUUUUCUUGUUCUCUUAGCUGAUUCAUAAUUCUCUGCCCUUUCAUUUCGUGUAGGUUUUUGGUGUGGUCUUCUUUUUGCAGACAAUAGGGUUGUAGCCUCUCUUGCUUCUGAUAUCUGCCACCCUUGUGCCUGAAGUUGGUUUGGGGGGUUUGCAGCAGACUUCCUGAUGGGAGGGACUGGUGCCUGCUCACUGGUAGAUGGAGUUGAUUCUUAUCCCUCUAGUGGGUGGGGCUUUGUCUCUGGGUGUGAUUAGAGGUGGCUGUGUGCCUGUUUGCUGAUGGGUGGGGCUGUGAGCCCACCUGGUUUGUUGUUUGGCCUGGGCUUCUAAACUCUGAUGGAUGGGGCCAGGUAUUUCCAAAAUAGCCACCUCUGGAGGAGUACAUGCUGAUGAUUAUUCCUGAGACCUCUGCCUCCAAUGUCCUUCCGCAACAAUGAGCCACAGUCACUCCCUGUUUUACCAGGUUAUCUUUCAAGAACUGUAGUCACAUCUAACCCAGAUUCCUAUGGAGUCUCUGUUUUGCCCUGUGACCCAAUGUGCACAGAAGCCUGUGUGUGCCUUUUAAGAGUAGAGUCUCCAUUUCCCCCAGUCCUGUGGAGCUCAUGCACUCAAGCCCCACUGGCCCUCAAUGCCAAAUGCUCUGGGAGCUCCUCCUCCCAAUGCCAGUGAGGCAGAAUAUUAACUCAGGUAGUCAGUGUAGGAGCAUGGGCUUCAAUACAUUCUUUGAUAUGGCUGUUGAUUAACAUUUGUGGCUUAAGGGCUCCAGGGGGUAGCAUUUCCAAAGGCCUUGUUUUAUUAUAAGAAAUGCGUGUUCCCCACAGACUUUGUUUACUAUAGAAAAUGUGAAUCUCUAGCCCACUCCUCAACUGAUAAAAGAGGAAUCAGAGGAAUGGUAAAAGAAAAGGACUCACACACAAAAAAACCCCACAGAACUUGCAGGACAUUUCCAACCCCAAAAGCCCUAUUGGACAAGGACUAAUAUAGGUAAUUGAAUAAGGCCAAUGGGAGAAGACCACAUCUCUCUGGACCCCACAUUGGUACCCCUCCCCCAACUUUGGGGAAUAAAAACCCGUAUAGGACAGUAGAGAAAGGGGGUGCUCUUCUCCCCCCUCCCAGUAACCCUGGGAUCUAUCUUCUUUCCUUUAAUAAAAACAUUGCUUGCUUGCUGCCUGUGUAUUCACAGAGUUCAUUCUUUGACCACUAUGAACAAGAACCUGGAUUCUAGUACCAUCUUUCUGGCAUCAUCUUUUUGGGGG